rnacentral:rRNA from 1 species
GACGAACGCUGGCGGCGUGCCUAAUACAUGCAAGUUGAGCGCUGAAGGUUGGUACUUGUACCAACUGGAUGAGCAGCGAACGGGUGAGUAACGCGUGGGUAAUCUGCCUUUCAGCGGGGGACAACAUUUGGAAACGAAUGCUAAUACCGCAUAAAAACUUGAAACACAAGUUUUAAUUGUGAAAGAUGCAAUUGCAGCACUCAAAGAUGAUCCCGCGUUGUAUUAGCUAGUUGGUGAGGUAAAGGCUCUCCAAGGCGAGGAUACAUAGCCGACCUGAGAGGGGGGUCGGCCAAAUUGGGACUGAGACACGGCCCAAACUCCUACGGGAGGCAGCAGGAGGGAAUCUUCGGCAAUGGACGAAAGUCUGACCGAGCAACGCCGAGUGAGUGAAGAAGGUUUUCGGAUCGUAAAACUCUGUUGGUAGAGAAGAAAGUUGGUGAGAGUGGAAAGCUCAUCAAGUGACGGUAACUAAUCAGAAAGGGACGGCUAACUACGUG